AUACUGAAUCAGUGCAACUCCAUCUAACCAAUUAAAUAAACAUUUAACAAAAAAAUCUUAUAAUGUCUUCCACAAUAAGUUAUAAAAAUGUGUAGCAAUAUUGUACAUGAGGCAUAUGGCUGAUUUUAGAAUGUGUAAGUCCUGUUGUUUAGCCCCGAACUGGGUGAAUAAAAUGAUCUUGAAUAAUAUAACUCAGAUUUAAUUUCCUGUAUAAUAAAUUGAAAAUGGUAAUAAAAAUCAACGAAAUUAAACACCGAUAAACAUGGAAAUAUUAAAAAGUCCAUGGGUCUAAAAGAGAUUACAAUAUUCUUUAAUCAUCACUUAAAUACUUUUCAUUUCGUAAUACUUUUAACUUAUCAUCACGCAACCUUUCAUAUUUUCUUCAUUAAGCCAUAUAAAAAGGGGAACUUACUACAGGGUUUAACUUCACUCAGUCCCUCUACGAUAGUGUGUUUCACCUUGCCAUGUCUACUUCUUUUUGGUCAUCCAUCCUCCUCAUCUACUCAGAGUUUCGAGAGAUUAGGAAUCCUUUUUUCCGCUAUUAAAGUGAAGGACAUUCGUCUCGAGGGUUAGGAUAUCAUCUAACAACUCCAUCAAUGCUCCUUUAUUUCAAAGAUGUGGAGAUCUGAGGCCCUCCUCUCCAGGGAUUUAAAUCCAUUGACGAUCUUUAACGUUGUAGUGAAGCAUAUGAAGCUAAGCCUCAGUUUCUCAAGAAAAUUACUUUACCAUAGUGGAGCGCCAUACAGCUCACCGAGUGAGGUGUUGUGGUAAUUUGUCUGUAGAUCCUCAAAAUAGGCCGGGACCAAAAGUAGAUAUGUAGGAACCAGGUUCAACAGCUGCUUCUGUUGAUAAGGAACAAAUAGUUCUUCUGAAUGUUUCUUCUGGGAAUCCACCUCCUGCAAAGAAGCAGAAAAAGUUUCACUGUUGGGUCGUUUUAUCUCCACCAUAUCUACCCAGAAGUUAGACUUGGAUCAGGCUUAAGCUGAUGUAUUCCUUGCCACCAAAAACUUUGUUCAAUUUUGGUGAACACUCACUCUUCAAGAGAGCAUGCAACCUUAUGCGUCCUGGAUAUGUGCCUCCCACAGUCAAGCAGAUUGGUGGACAACUAAUUGAAAAUUCAUACGACAGGCUUCAAAUCAAAAUGAAGGAGGAACUGAAUACCAACCCGUCGCCAUUCAGCAAGAUGGAUGGACUAAUCUGAAAGAUGAUCCCAUAAUUGCCACAUACCUCAUCAAUGAAGGCAAUGGUUACUUUCACGAUGCUAUUGAUCCUAGUUCCAAGAAAAGAACUGCUGAAUUUGGUGAAUACCUUCUUCUCGAGUCUAUUGAGACAGCAGAAACCAGGUACGGCUAUAAAGUCUUAAAUUUAUACACAGAUAAUGAAAAUAAAAUUAAAAAAACACGCAAAGAAGAUCAUAAGCAGCGUCUUGAUGUGAACGUUUAUGGAUGUAUUAGUCACAACUUGAAGAAGCUUGCCAUCUAUCAUCGGACAUGGCAAGGGCAUUAAUUACCAUUUCAAGUAUGUUCAUCGUUGUCAUGGAUGGUUGAGGAAAUCCUCUGACCAAGUAAAUUUAAAAAUUUCAUGUACUACCCGUUAGAACAGUAUCUUGACCUGUUUAAAAUCGUUCUUAUCCAAUUAUUCCAUCUAUAAGAAAAUUGUUUCCGAGCAUUUAGAUGAGAUGGAUACUAACAUAUGUUCUAGGUUGAAGAACAUUGCUCUACGAUUUGCAGCUGAAGACUUAUGUGAACCACUGAUAUCCCUUGCCCGUGGCGUUGACAAAUGCCAUAGUGACACUUGCAUGAUUGCAGAUGCUACAUAUCACUAUUUUUCUCUUCUCAAUGUAAAAUCUCUUGAGCUUUACAAGACAACCAUCGAGAAGCGCUCCAGCGAUGAAGUACAUCCUUUUCACCUUCCUGCAUAUCUUCUACACCCAUAAUAUCAAGAUCAGCUUUUAAAUGAUAACCAGGUGGAAAAAGCUAAAACUUGGCUAAAUGACAAGGAUUCCUCAUUCAUCUGGGUCGUAAUCUCAUUUUAGGCACAGAGUCCACCACUGCCAUCAUCCUUUUUUGGUGUUAAUACCAUAUACACUCAUCCUUUUUUGGCGUUAAUGCCAUAUACACUCAUCCUCUAAGCUGUUGGAAAGCUCUUAGUAAAAGAUGUUCAUUCCCUAACGGUUUUAUUGAACUGAUGGAACAAUUGUACACUGCUGUUGCUUCCUCCAGCUCCAUUGAAAGAGUAUUCAGUACUUAUGGACUGGUACAUAACUGCAACCGAUUAGGUAAUAUUAAAGCAGGCAAACUUGUCUAUUGCCAUCGAAUGCUGCGAGGACCACAAGAAAUGAAUAAUUAAUAAUUAAUUUUUGUAACCUUAAAUAUAUAAUUGAAAAUAAAUUGUGUUAUAAAUAGUUUCAUAUCAAAUGUAUUUAAUUUAAUUAGUGAAAAUAUAUUUUAAACAUA
rnacentral:lncRNA from 1 species